rnacentral:lncRNA from 1 species
UUAUCUUUAUAGGUUUUGUGAUAAUGUUAGAUUGAAAUCAUGCUGUUACUAGGAUCAUAGCAAUGUUUUAAAAAUCGGCUCGAGCCUUGAACUCGGCCCUGGGUCGAGCCUAAGUAACGUGCGUUAGUCUGGUCGACUCGGCCAAGCAACGUGCAAGGCAGAAAAAGCCCUAAAAAAAUUUAAAAACUUAAUAUAUAUAUAUAUAUAUAUUUUAAAUUUGCUAAAAAAUAAACUGGCCAAAAAACAUAAAAAGUCUAAAUAAGCUUAAAAAUAUAGAUUUAGAAACAAUUGAUUUAUAGUUGGAGACAUUUUGUGAAAAUCUUAAAAACAAAGAAAAAUAUAAAAAUAAUGUAUAUGGCAAGAAAAAAUAACAAAUCGUUUUGUGUCGUUUUUAUGAAGCGAAAAGUUUAUAUAGAGCCGAGGCUCUAUACCAUCAAAUUAGAACCAGCCUAAAAAAUUUCAUUAGAAGAUGUUGGUUUGAUGCCCAAAUGUCCUCAAAUUGAUCAUCUCAACAUCAAGAUAGAUAGACAUGAGAAAAAAAUGGAUUUGAAGUUGUGAAAAUAGUGUAUUUUGUAAUGCAUAUUUGGACCGUCAAUUUUCAAGAUUUUCAAGUUUUCAUAGAGCUAUUAAUCUACACUAUUUUUCAAGCUUUAAACUUUAUAAACAAAGCUGAAAAUAUAUUUUAAGGCUAUCACAAAAAUUUUCAGUAUUGAAACCAUAUUUCUCAAAACUAUUUGAAAGUAGGCUCUAAUUUGAUUGUUCAAGCCUAGGCUCUAUACAAACCGCACCCUUUAUAAAUUGAUCAGGGAAAAGUUUAUAUAGAGCAGAGGCUCUAAACAAUUAAAUUUGAGCCUACUUAAAAAAUUUCAUUAGAAGAUGUAGUUUUGAUGCUUAAAUAUCUUCAAAUUGAUCAUCUUGACAUCAAGAUGCAUGGACCGGAGAAAAAAUUGGAUUUCGGGUUUUGGAAAUAGUAUAUUUUGUAACGCUUUUUUUUACCGUCAAUUUUCAAGAUUUUCAAGUUUUCAUAAAUAUGUCGAUCAACACUAUUUUUGAAGCUUUAAACUUUAUGAAUAAAUAUAAAAAUAUAUUUUAAGGCUAUUACAAAGAUUUUCAGUAGUGAAACCACAUUUCUCGACAUUAUUUGAAGGUAGGCUCUAAUUUGAUUGUUUAGAGCCUAGGCUCUAUAUAAACCACACCCUUUAUAUAAUUUUUAUUUAUUUUUAUUUUUUUGAUGUAUCGAAGUUGUACGAGCCGACCUUUAAAUAGGGUUGAGAAAUGUGGUUUUAAUACUGAAAAUCUCCCUUAUAGCCUCAAAAUGUAUUUUCAUCUCUAAUUAUAAAAUUUAAAGCUUAAAGAAUAGUGUAGAUCGAGAAUAUCUAUAAAAAGCCGAGCUAUAAAAACUUGAAAAUUGACGGUCCAAAAAUGCAUUACAAGAUGCAUUAUUUUUUGAAAUUAGAGAUUUAUUUAUUUAUCAUAUCCAUGCGUCUUGAUAUCGAGAUGAUCGAUUUAAAGAUAUUUGAGCAUCAAAGCGAUCUCUUCUAGUGAAAUUUUUGAGGUGUAUUCUAAUUUGAUUGUUUAGAACUUCUGCUUUAUAUUACUAUAUUAAAUGUUGUUUAAAAACUCUGAAAGGUGGGUCAAAUGGAUAAAAGAAAUAAAAAAUAUAAAAAUUAGUUAUUAUCAUCGUCAAAGUCUUUUGCUUGGAGUUGCCACACNN